GUGCCUAUAGUUCAGUUGGUUAGAGCGUCAGAUUGUGGUUCUGAAUGUCCACGGUUCGAGUCCGUGUAGGCACC
rnacentral:tRNA from 1 species